rnacentral:rRNA from 1 species
UACGGGGGGAGCAAGCGUUGUUCGGAUUUACUGGGCGUAAGGGCGCGUAGGCGGUCAGCACAAGUCAGUUGUGAAAUCUCCGGGCUUAACUCGGAAAGGUCAACUGAUACUGUGCGACUAGAGUGCAGAAGGGGCAACUGGAAUUCUCGGUGUAGCGGUGAAAUGCGUAGAUAUCGAGAGGAACACCUGCGGCGAAGGCGGGUUGCUGGGCUGACACUGACGCUGAUGCGCGAAAGCCAGGGGAGCGAACGGG